rnacentral:rRNA from 1 species
UACGUAGGGUCCGAGCGUUGUCCGGAAUUAUUGGGCGUAAAGGGCUCGUAGGCGGUCCGUCAAGUCGGCUGUGAAAUCUCAGGGCUCAACCCUGAGCUUGCAGUCGAUACUGGCGGACUUGAGGCAGGUAGGGGAGAGUGGAAUUCCCGGUGUAGCGGUGAAAUGCGCAGAUAUCGGGAGGAACACCAGUAGCGAAGGCGGCUCUCUGGGCCUGUCCUGACGCUGAGGAGCGAAAGCGCGGGUAGCGAACAGG